CACACCCCUUCCGGUCCGAGAAGCAACCGUAGAACACAACAACAAACCGGGUCGCUGUCUUGUGGCGGUCGUUUUCUGAAUUCAGAGGCUUAUUAACGGGGCUCCGGUGUACCGUUCGCCCCACCGGGGGGCUGGUUCGGUCCGGGCGGAGGAGUGACGGUUAGCAUGGUGAAGUGUGUUGUCUCUGGGUGUCCGAACCGCGUGGCGACCGUUCACGUUAACCGGGGGAUCUUCAGCCGACCACCGAAGAGGUUCUUCAACUUCCCCAAAGACCCGGCACGAGUUAAGGUAUGGCUGGCCGCACUGAGGGAGACGGACACGCAGGACUCGACAGAGCAGCAUUUAAUUUGUGAAGACCACUUCCUUCCGGAGGACAUCUCCACCAAGGGGGUCAACAGCGACGCCAUUCCCAUCAUGCCCGCCUGCCUGGAUGGGCCCUUGGGCAUGAUUAGCCCCUGGGGAGCCGAGUCAUCUGAGGAAGAGGAUCAGUGGGCCACAGGCGGCGGCGACGAUGAUGAUGAUGAUGAGGAUUUCGAAGGUGGAGAUGAUGGUCCUGUUUGUGUGGAGCCUCCUGCACCAGAACCUGCUGCAGUGGAUCCACCACAGCAGGAUCCAGGAGCCAAGAAGACCUCAGAGUCCAGGACAACUGGCAUCAUCUUCCAUCAGAUGAAAGAGAUGGUUCAGACCAAGAAAGUCACCAGACAGGAUGUUUCCCUGGGGAUGCUGACGCAGCGUUUCCUCAAGCUGAUGCUGGCGGCUCCAGACAGCACAGUGGACAUCCAGCAGGCGAUGAGCCGCCUGCAAAUCCGCAGGCGACGAGUCUAUGACAUCACCAACGUCCUGGAAGGCAUCAGCCUCGUCGAGAAGCAGUCGACCAGCAGAUACAAGUGGAUAGGAAGGAGUCAGAUCUCCAACUUUCUGUGGAGGAACGAGCAGAAGUUCCAGAGAGAGUUGGACAACCUGAAGCUGGUGGAGGACACGCUGGACGGCCUCAUCAAAAGCUGCGCUCAGCAGCUCUUCGACAUGACCGAUGACUUGGAAAACGCUGCGUUGGCCUACGUGACCUACGAGGACGUCAGCCGGCUCCCUGCCCUCCAGGAGCAGACGGUGUUUGUUGUCAAAGCUCCAGAGGAAACCAAAUUGGAAGUUCCUGCACCCAAAGAGGACAGCAUCCAGAUCCAUCUGAAGGGGGAGAAGGGUCCCAUUAUGGUGGUGACCUGUGAUAUCGGGACAGGAAACGCGACUGGAGAGAAGAACAGCUGCUUCUUAACGCUGGAGGAAAGCCGAAUAAAGACAGCCACACUGCACACAGUACAGAAAGCUCCUCCAGCCAGCCAGACGAUGGAUGAACUGUCUGCAUCCCUUAAAGCUGAAUUUAAGCCUGGAGAUGUACCUGAUUCAUCUGAGUUCAGUGAAGACCAGGAGAGUGGAGAUACGUCUGAGUUCAGUGAAGACCAGGAGGGCUGGGAUACCUUUGACAGGGACACCCAUCCCCAUAAACCUAAGGAGAAACCAGGUCAGCAGACCCGAAAAAAACACAAGCAGAAGAAACCAUGUCGCCAAACAUGUCGGAAGAAAUGCUGGAACAAAAUAACAGAAAAAAUGAGGAAAGCGGAGCACACAACGUACAAGAAAAUGACCACCCAAAGGAAGGUAACAUUCAUUCUCAACAGGGUCUUUCAACGCAAGAUUGCACGUUUGACAUCUGUUGUUCCCAGCAGACGUAAAAAGUCAAUAUCUUACCAUCUUAGAGAUGACCUGGGUGAAUUACAAGAGGUAUGCAAGACCUUCUUUCUCACAACUCUGGGAUACCAUCCAAAAAAUGACAGGUUCAUCCUAGCAGUCAUCAGGAACAGCUCCCCAUCAGGCUCGACAUCCCCCAAAGAACACCAUGGAAGACCUGCCCCAGCCAGUAAAGCCAGUUUCUCCCUAAGUUACAAACACAACGAAUCAUUAAAUCCGACAGUUAGCCAUUAUAGAUGAGAACACGCCCCCAGUCUAAGAUACCUCCUGAGUAGGGUGACCAGUUGUCCCAAAUCCAGAAUCCUAUCCUUUUUUUUUGUCCUGGAAAUGAAGCGUUAAUAGUAACAGAGCAAACUAAAACGAGAGCUGUCUGUGUUCUGGGAGACUGGAGCUGACUUGGUGACGUUGUAAUAUUGGAACAUGCUGCACUGAACAUAUUGGUUUAUGUGUAUUUUGGAGUGCUGCUAAACAUAACAGAGAUACAUUCAACAAGCUGCUGCUGUCACCACAAUAAAGACUCUAAAUUCAACUCAAACUCCCCUGUCUCAUAUUUCACCCAUUCUCAUCUGGUCACUCUACUCCUGAGUGAUGUAAAUGUGCAGCUGAUGCAGAAGGAGUUUACUGCAAACCACCAGUGCUCAUACGGAGCAGUAAAGAACAGCAACACCAGCUUCAAAGAGUCCUGAAGGCUGAAGUAUUUGCUUCACCUGGCAGAGAUCAAAUUCAGGAGAGGAUCAUGGACCAUGUGGGUGAAACUAUCCCAGGAUCAGGAGUAAUUCACACCUCUGGACUAUCUCAUGAAGACCACUCUUGACAGCUCUGAGCAACUCAGGCCUGCAGUGAAUGUGGUUGGGAGGCAGAAGAAGGCAGACAUCCGGACAAAAACUGCCCACUGAUGCUACGAAACAGCAGGAAGUCUUGUCGGAAGAGCUGCAGAUGAAGAAGUCCUCGAGUCCACAGAGCGCUGUGCAGAGCGCGUAGCCACCAGCUGACCACCAGCUGACCACCGGUUGACGCCAGCUCCAGAUACAAGCCUGGAAAAACUACUGAACACUAAAUAUGUCGUCUACGGGUAGCAGAAGGGUCAGAUGCAGAGAUUUCAACUGACUGAGCUCAUAUGUGACACCUUAUUCAAGUACUCGGCUGAUAUAUGUUUAAAUCAGCUGAAACAUUUACUAAAAUCAACAAAUCCAAACUGAUGAGAAGCAAACAAAGAUGUUUUGAUAAGAGAAUCAACAUGAUAAACACUUUUAUGGAUCAAUUUAAUUUGUGGCUUUGCAAAUGUUUUUUUUAUUUAAUUUUUAUUUUUUGAAAAGCAAAGUUUUAAUUAACCUGGUGUUGGUUCUGUUCAGCCUGGUCGGUCUGCUGAGCUCUCCGGAGAGAAAUCAUGUAAACGAUGAAGAUGAGGAUGUAAUUUUCUUUUCUAUGAGGGAUGACAGAGAGGAGUGAAUGAGCUCAUUUGCAGAUGCAGUACACACUGUGCCUCGGUGCUGCAGAGAGCUGCAGUGCUCCUGGAGGCUUUGUGUUAUACAUUAGGAUCAUGUCCUGACAUACAGUACAUUGGCUGUAUCAUAUUUGACUUCUUUAUAUAUUGUGUUGGUUUUGGACAUCUUGGUUUGAACUUUAUAUGUGGAAAACAUCUCAAAGAUUCUGUGAUAAAUAAAUAAAAUUAACUCCUA